GCUAGCGUAGCUUAAACCAAAGCAUGACACUGAAGAUGUUAAGAUGAAUUUUGACAACAUUCCGCAGGCA
rnacentral:tRNA from 1 species